UCAAGUCAUCGCUUACCUGCCCGCCCUCCACCGCAGCCUCCUCGCCUAGGAUCCCGCUCGUUUAUGGAAGCCGGAUCCGUUGACUUCAGCCUGGAACCCACAGACUACCUCCCUGAUUGUGAUCAUUCUUUCCCAAACUCCACCCCAGGAUCCCCACCACAUCACAUUACUUUGCUUCAAUAAAAAAUCUUUAACUGA